GAUGAACGCUGGCGGCGUGCCUAAUACAUGCAAGUCGAGCGAACAGAUGAGGAGCUUGCUCCUCUGACGUUAGCGGCGGACGGGUGAGUAACACGUGGAUAACCUCCCUAUAAGACUGGGAUAACUUCUGGAAACCGGAGCUAAUACCGGAUAAUAUAUUGCACCGCAUGGUUCAAUAGUGAAAGACGGUUUUGCUGUCACUUAUAUAUUGAUCCGCGCCGCAUUAGCUAGUUGGUAAGGUAACGGCUUACCAAGGCGACGAUGCGUAGCCGACCUGAGAGGGUGAUCGGCCACACUGGAACUGAGACAAGGUCCAGACUCCUACGGGAGGCAGCAGUAGGGAAUCUUCCGAAAUGGGCGAAAGCCUGACGGAGCAACGCCGCGUGAGUGAUGAAGGUCUUCGGAUCGUAAAACACUGUUAUUAGGGAAGAACAAAUGUGUAAGUAACUAUGCACGUCUUGACGGUACCUAAUCAGAAAGCCACGGCUAACUACGUG
rnacentral:rRNA from 1 species